GACGAACGCUGGCGGCGUGCCUAAUACAUGCAAGUCGAACGCACAGUUUAUACCGUAGCUUGCUACACCAUAGACUGUGAGUUGCGAACGGGUGAGUAACGCGUAGGUAACCUGCCUGGUAGCGGGGGAUAACUAUUGGAAACGAUAGCUAAUACCGCAUAAUAUUGAUUAUUGCAUGAUAAUUAAUUGAAAGGUGCAAUUGCACCACUACCAGAUGGACCUGCGUUGUAUUAGCUAGUAGGUGAGGUAACGGCUCACCUAGGCGACGAUACAUAGCCGACCUGAGAGGGUGAUCGGCCACACUGGGACUGAGACACGGCCCAGACUCCUACGGGAGGCAGCAGUAGGGAAUCUUCGGCAAUGGACGAAAGUCUGACCGAGCAACGCCGCGUGAGUGAAGAAGGUUGUCGGAUCGUAAAGCUCUGUUGUAAGAGAAGAACGGGUGUGAGAGUGGAAAGUUCACACUGUGACGGUAGCUUACCAGAAAGGGACGGCUAACUACGUG
rnacentral:rRNA from 1 species